rnacentral:rRNA from 1 species
AUGGCUCAGGAUGAACGCUAGCGGCAGGCCUAAUACAUGCAAGUCGAACGCUCAGUAGCAAUACUGGGAGUGGCGCACGGGUGCGUAACGCGUACACAAUCUACCUCUAAGCGGGGGACGCCUCCUGGAAACGGGGAUUAAUACCGCAUAAUAUGCCGAGGUCGCAUGACUUUGGUAUUAAAGCAGCAAUGCACUUAGAGAUGAGUGUGCGUCCCAUUAGGUAGUUGGUGAGGUAACGGCUCACCAAGCCUAUGAUGGGUAGCCGGUCUGAGAGGAUGGUCGGCCACACGGGCACUGAGACACGGGCCCGACUCCUACGGGAGGCAGCAGUAAGGAAUAUUGGUCAAUGGUGGAAACACUGAACCAGCCAUGCCGCGUGGAGGAAUAAGGUCCUACGGAUUGUAAACUCCUUUUGACGAGGAAGAAAGUGUUAGAUUUAUCUAAUUUUGACGGUACUCGUAGAAUAAGCACCGGCUAACUCCGUG